GGGCCUAUAGUAAAUCGGUAUUACGCAUCCAUGGCAUGGAUGAGGGCCGGGUUCGAUUCCCGGUAGGUCCACCA
rnacentral:tRNA from 1 species